rnacentral:rRNA from 1 species
GCUGGCAGUCAUAUCACCCUGUAGUCCAAGACUGGUUGCCCACUGAAGCUAAGCAGGGUUGAGCCUGGUCAGUACCUGGAUGGGAGAUCUCCUGGGAAAACUAGGUUGCUGCUGGAA